rnacentral:lncRNA from 1 species
GAAAAACAAAAUUGUUCUCAUUUCUAGAAAAUAUUUCUUUAAUUUCCUCCCUUAUAUUAUGAGGUGAUUGGGCAAAUUAAUCUGUAAGUCUGUUUGGGAGCAAGCUUUCUAAUUUUCUCUUAAGAACCUCUAUUGUUACAUAAGAAUAUCUCAUUAAGCUUUGCCUUUCCUGGGGAAUAAGAAGGCAGCAGGUGAUAAUGAAAUAAAGAUUUUUUUAAGAGGCUUUUAUGGCAAUUUCUCCUCUAUAAGGAGGCAACAUGAACUGCAUUGACAUUAUUAAGCCUGCUAAAGCAUAUUCCCAAAUUCAGGACUUAUCAGGGGACAUUUACUAAUUUCCACAAUAAAUAACAACACUAAAUGGAAAAAUGCA